AACAAUGUUAAAAAGCCUGGAGAUGACCACAUAUAAAAGGACCAUGUGUGCAAAGGAUUGCUGGAAAAUGAAUCAGGGAUGGCCUGGAUCCUGCCAUGUAAAUCAAAGAAUAGAGGGCCUGACUCAGCCGCCUAGCCUGAGUCACCUGGAACCCAUUAGGAUACAGGAUCAUAAACACCUCUAUUUUCCCUUCAGAGAGAGACCAGAACCACUGGAGUUAAGCUACCUGCAUAAGAGUUGAGUGCGAUCAGCUGUACUUAAUCUUUAAAUGUCCAACCCACUGAUAACCUUUGGUUUGCUUUGAUAACUAUGAAAUAAAUUCUCACUGUAUUGGA